GGAGGCAGUCGUUGAAAGUCCCAGGUGGCUCUGAAACCAUUAAGUAGAGCUAGAGAUGGCAGAUCAAUGAAGGCAGGGCUGGGCAUUUGGUCCUGUUCACAGCAGAAAUCCUAGUGCCUAGGACAGUGCACAGAAUACAGCAGCACUCCAGAAAUACUUGUUGAAAGGAUGGUGACCUGAAGGCAGUGCUGGGUCAGAGAUAUGUUAUAGCUGUUUAGUGGCGGAUGGUGAUGUGAAAAGUGUGUGACCUUCAGAAGAUAUUGUUUUGGAAUCACUUAAGAGGGCCCAAGAAGUCAAGCCAGGAGCUUCUUUAGGGUCUCUGCUCUGAUCUUUGAGGGGAGGAACGGAGACUGUAAGGCAGAGAAAUCAUGUGGAGAGGACACUGCGGGACUUCCAAGUUAUGGUUCUGGUGUUUGUGAGUGGAGAGUUGCAUCCUGAAAUCAAGAAAUAGAGGGUUUGUUUCCUGUAGAACACAAGAAAGUCUCAGAGUGACCAUGGGUGUGGGAGCUGAUGGCCAUAGCUAUCUGAUGUAUGUGACACUGAGUUCAGUGGAAAAAAACAGAACCCAUCUGUAUGGUCUGGCCACUCAAGAUGGCUGUUUUCCUGCUCUUGGUACAUCCCCUGCUCAACCAGCUCCUGCUUCCUCUACACCUACUCACAAGGUUAUGGUGCCAAAGAAUGGAUGCUUUCGAAUUGUGCUGGAGAAGACUCUGGAGAGUCCCUUGGACUACAAGGAGAUGAAACCAGUCAAUCCUAAAGGAAAUCAACCCUGAAUAUUCACUGGAAGGACUGAGGCUGAAGCUGAAGCUCCAAUACUUUGGCCACCUGAUGCAAAGAGCCAACUCAUUGGAAAAGACCCUGAUGCUGGGAAAGAUGGAAGGCAGAAAGAGAAGAGGAUGAGCAUGUUUGGAUAGCACCACCGACUCAAUGGACAUGAAUUUGAGCAAGCUCCGGAAGAUGGUGAAGGACAGAGGAGCCUGGCGUGCUUGAGGCGUUCAUGAGGUCACAAAGAGUGGGACAGGACUGAGCGGCUGAACAACAACCUGCCCCUUAGGUCAGAACGGCUCCACCUGGUGGUUUAUGAAAGGAAAGCACCUGCCCUCAGGAUGCUUGAAACCAGCCGCGAGGGGCGUGCCUCAGCGGCUGGUUUCCCUGGUAACGGAUCAGCCUUUCUGACAUCAUUUCCUCCUACAAAUGGAGGAGGAGCCUCCUCCUCCCUGGGGUAGUGAAUAGUGCUACCAUGUCUGGCGUCUGUGGGGCAUGGUGGGGUGCUGCUCCAGGACCUUUCUUCAGCAUCAGCCUGGAGAACGAGAGCAGUAACCAGCCUUUGGAAUUCCGGCAAAGUUUCUUCCCUGGGAUCCAUUGUCUCUGUCACGUGAAAAUGACAACAAUGGAUUCGUUACCACUCAGCCACCAGGGAAGCCCACCAACAGCUAUACUUGCAGACAAAUGGCAUCUUUGAAAAAGCUGUACAGAUCUCCUCUUGUCCAUGAUGCCUUUUCUAAGUGGUUGAGUUAGAAUAAUGCUUCCACUUCAUACCCCUCAAUGUGUCUCCCUAGACACCAGUCCUGGACCUCAUGUUACAAGAGUCCUCCUCUGUCUAUACUACUCCUCAAGCCCAGGGUUCUGUUGGGCUAAGUGAAUGUGGACCCCGGCCCUGCUCUGGACCACACGUCCUGUACACAAGACCUAGGAAUUCUCUGCUGAAAUGUCCAAGUCCACUUCUAAGCCUGCAUGGAUUCUUCCCAAUGUUCCUCCUGUAUCUGAGGGCAGAUGGCAUUGCUGGGCACAGCCUCAGGCCUGAAAGCUGGCCAAGGAGGCAGCUGUUUGAAUGUCCAGAUGGCUCCUGUCGUGCGCCUGAGGCCCUUCAUGGUUUGAACCUCAUUGAA
ensembl:lncRNA